CAGGCCUAACACAUGCAAGUCGAGGGGCAGCGGGACACUUCGGUGUUGCCGGCGACCGGCGGACGGGUGCGUAAUGCGCAUGCAAUCUACUUUACACUGGGGAAUAGCCUCCGGAAACGGGAAUUAAUACCCCAUAUAAUCUUACUAGCGCAUGCUAGAAAGAUGAAAGCUCAGGCGGUGUAAAAUGAGCGUGCGUCCUAUUAGCUAGUUGGAGAGGUAAUGGCUCACCAAGGCUACGAUGGGUAGGGGUUCUUAGUGGAAGGUCCCCCACACUGGCACUGAGAUACGGGCCAGACUCCUACGGGAGGCAGCAGUAGGGAAUAUUGGUCAAUGGGCGCAAGCCUGAACCAGCCAUGCCGCGUGCAGGAUGAAGGCUCUCUGAGUUGUAAACUGCUUUUGUACAGGAGCAAAAAAGCCCCUGCGGGGGUUCUUGAGAGUACUGUAAGAAUAAGCACCGGCUAAUUCCGUGCCAGCAGCCGCGGUAAU
rnacentral:rRNA from 1 species